rnacentral:lncRNA from 1 species
UUGGGUGGUCAUGGCUGUUAAAUAUCCCCCGUUUCCCGGUGUAUAAGGAGUUGGCUUUAGAGUUUUUCACCUCAUUUAGGUUCAGGGACACCACAGAUGUAGACGCUAAGUGCAUAUCCUUUCGAUUAUGUAACAUGAUGCAUGAGUUUUCUCUCACUGAAUGGGCUGUCAAGUUAGGGAUUUGUAGUCUAGAAGAGGCUUUGAGUGUUGAUUUUCGCACUGCUCUAUGUGGUAUGGGGACGUC